UACGUAGGGUGCGAGCGUUAAUCGGAAUUACUGGGCGUAAAGCGUGCGUAGGCGGUUCGUUAAGUUCGUUGUGAAAGCCCCGGGCUCAACCUGGGAACUGCAAUGGAAACUGGCGGGCUUGAGUGUGGCAGAGGGGGGUGGAAUUCCUAGUGUAGAGGUGAAAUUCGUAGAUAUUAGGAAGAACACCAGUGGCGAAGGCGGCUCACUGGUCCGGUACUGACGCUGAGGUGCGAAAGCGUGGGGAGCAAACAGG
rnacentral:rRNA from 1 species